GUAUGACAGGAGUGAUGUAUCAAUUAGAUGUGUGAAGUGCACUGAUGAACUCAACUUUUGAUGCUUAUUGACAUCCUGCCAAUUAUAU